rnacentral:tRNA from 1 species
GGACCUAUAGCUCAGCUGGUUAGAGCGCACGCCUGAUAAGCGUGAGGUCGGUGGUUCGAGUCCACCUAGGUCCA